UAGUCACAUUUUUAACAAUAACAUACAAUGUCAAUGGGUAAACAACGUGAUUGAAAUAACUUUGAGACACUGUAUGUUGUAUAGGAUUACAAGGUUUAUAUUUGAUGUGUUGUCAUUUAGCCUCUGAGGAAGACUCCUGCUAGAGUCGAAAUGUCAAGCCAUAAACUAUUUGUUAAAAUACAAGGUUGUCAGAGAUGCACUGUUUAAAAUUUCAAGGAUGACUCAUUGAAACCAACUAAAACCAAAGCAAAGACACAGAUAAUAGGAUUAAGUGUACAGUAAAAGAAAGAGGGGUUUAUGGGCGUCAUCUGGACAAUCUGUAUAUAGUUUAGUCUUCCUGCCCUGCUGGUCAAUCUGUUAUGUAUACUUGUGGAAGUAUUAUUGUUGGAAGUGAACAUUUUUGACACCUUGUAUUUGAUUCAUCAGAAUAUCUGGACAAUUAAUUUCCCAAACCUAAAUAUAUCCUUGAAGAGCAUCCACAAUCUGAAAUUUCUGAAGCCAAAGGCAAAGGAGGCAAUAUGGCAUUAUGCACAUUACGUUACUUCAUAACAACAAAAUUGUAAAUCACCUAAAUUACUGUUUAUGUGAAGAAAAAAAAACAAAAAAAAAGAAAAAGAAAAGGGAUACAAAAAAAGGUGUUCCACUUCCAUGUGACAUCUAAAUUUGGUGCAGAAUCACGUUAAAAUAAGAUGGAAUGUGGAACAACAAAUACUCAAAAAUAACCUUGUUGCAUCUUGGUUGCAUGGAAACAACAAUUUAAUAAGUGGACAGUACAAAUAGCAAGAUUUAUUGCCCCUUACUAAUUUACUGUCUGUAUCUUCACAUUUUGCAGAGUUUGUAAGUACUUAUAACACAAUGAAUGGCUUAUCAUGCCCACCUAUUAUCUUUAACGAUGAAGUUUGGUAUUCCAACAUGCAUUAAAGGACACUGUUGUUCAAUAAGAUCACAUUAAAUUUUAUUCAAAUUAAUAGUUGUUUUCUUAAUUCUAAUGCCUGUCAAAUGGAAUCAAACAAUGUACUCACCAACGUUUAAAUAAACUGAAGAUUAUUGUUAUUUUCUUUUCCUACUUUUCUUAUAUUUUCCAUUUUGCUUGUAAAUUAACACAAACACUUCAUCACUAUCAUCUGCUAGCUCCCAGAUGUAUAUAAAAUUGCUUUAUUGUUUUACUAAGCUUUUUAAACUAAAAGACAGUUACUGUGUGUAAAUUGCAAAAUAAAUGUAUGAAAUGAAAAGGUUGGAAUGUAGUUGCUAAUAGCAUGUUAAGUGUUACAGCUGAUUGGUUUAUAGAGCACUGAUUUAAUUAUUCCUAACACAGUUAUUCAAACAUGCAUUAGAGGGCACUGUUGUUCAAUAAGGUCACAUUUAUUCGUAUUAAUAGGGUUUUUUUGUUUUGUUUUUAAUGCCUGUCAACUGAAAUCAGACAAUGUACUCACCACUGUUCAAGUAAACUAAUGAUUAUUGGUAAUUUAUUUUUACUAUUUUUUUUCAUAUUUUCUAUUUUGAUUGUUAGUUAAGAUAAACACAUCAUCAGGUAUGCUCUCACAUGUAUAGAAUAAUGCUUUCAUUUUAAAAGCUUUUUAAAACAAAAGUAUCUUGUGUAAAUGGAAAUGAAAAGUUUGGAAUGUAUCUGAUUAGUUUUAAAGCUGGCUGAGUGGUUUAUAGAACAUUGAACUGAGGCUCUGGUACUAUUGGAGUGUGGUUUGGAUCUUGGGCCCAAUUUCAUAGAGAUGCUUCAGCCCUAAAAAAAGAGGCAAGCACAAUAAAAAUAUAACAAACAAAGAUUAAAUCCAAUCAUACCAUGGUUUCUACAUGUACCAUCUGUGAUUCGUACACUGCUGAUUUGUGUUGUUAAGCAGAAGACUUUUCAAAAGCAAUAUUUACUCCUGAAUAGCUCCAGUUGGGCCCACAGGUUACGUAGGUGGCACUCCUGUCAAAGUGUACAAUUUAUGUCCUGUACUGUAAUGACCAUACUCACUAAAGAGUACCGUACACUUGCAAUGGAAUAGAAGCAGCUACUUUGCUUCCACACCAGUGUGUCUUACAUGAAGACUGGGCCCAGUUUCAUGGAGUUGCUUAAAGAUUUCUUAAAGAUUAAAUAGAAUACCAGUCUAAUAACAGGGUACUCCCAUGACAUGGUAUUUUGGCUGGACACCUUAUUGGUGACUAUGUUUAUUAUACUCAGCUACUGGUUGUGCAUUCAGCAGCUUUAUGUACUGGUCCUAGCUGGUAACACACUUCACAAUGAGCUUGCUGGUGUUUGUAAAAGUUAAUGUGAACCAUUGUACAAAAGUGCCAUUCAUAAAAACACUUAAAUAAACAGUACAUAUUAUUUAGCAUGUAUGCCUUUAUUUAGUUCUGUUCAACAUAUUUGUUCAUUUUGUUUUUCCUAUUACUGUAAUCUAAUGUUUGCAAUUACAUGUAUUGUAUUGUUCUUUAUGAAAUGGCCGAAUGAAUAAUAAUGAUAAUAAUAUUCUAGUACUAUCAAUAGUUCUAUUUGAAUGAUUUUAGGUUGUACAAAGAACAAUUGACUAUAGAGCAGAUCUUGAGCAAAGUAAUUUAUAAAUUGAAUUACGUAUAGGAUAAUGUCCGAGGUGCGCGCCAUUCGUGGGUAAGAAUGCCACGAAUGGCGCGUUCACCGAGGGCAUUAUGCGACUUAACCCACACCUGUGACGUCAUGCUAUUGUUAAAAUCGCUCGAUUAUUUUGCACGAAUGGCGCAGUAUUGUUUAACUUUUAAGUCAACUGUUUGCAUGUAUUAUGUAAGCUUUUUCACUACAGUGAACACCACUAGCUGGUGGCGCAUGAACAUGCUACAAUGUAUAUGGACGAAGACCAACAUUCAGGAAAUAAAAAAGGCUCAUUCCUUUGACAGUGGCAUCAUGGAUCGGGAGCGAAAGUGGCAGCAGAAAAAUUAUUGUUUUUUGACUCAAAGUAAACUAGUGAUAGAAAGUGACUAUGACACGGAUGAUGUUGUAGCCGACUUGCUAGGUCUACAAAAAAAGCAAAAGGUUAAGAUAAAAGAAGUGACCUACCGUACAAGACUGUAGUUUAAGAUUAUUUCUGACAUAACUUUGAUUAACAAAUUUAAGAUAACUUAAUAAGCAACAAUUUCAGUAAAAUUCCUGUUAUUUUAUAAUGAGAUUGAAAUAAGUAUCUUUGCAAACUUAAUGUUGAGGGAGCUUACUCACUUACCAUGUUUGUGUAUGAUAAAUUAAGCAGUUUGAAUUAAUUUAAGACAGUAGGCCUACUGGUUAAAUUAAAUUGAAUUAUCUGAGAAAAGGCCUGCUUAAAUGACUGUUGUAGUUAAGCUACACUUUUUAACAUCUCAGCUAAAUAAUAAUUUAACAAUGUAGCUGUUCACUAACUUGUGGAAAGUCUUUACGAUCAUUUUGUAAUAAAUGCGUGGUUCUAACUUGUGUACAAAACAAAAUAUGGUCUAUGGCGUCAUUUACUCUUACUAAUCCUUAAAUUUAUAACAAUAGUUUCACCAGUUUGCACAAUGGGUGAAUAGUUGUGUACCCAUCGCGCCAUUCGUGCAAAAUAAUGGAGCGAUUUAACGAUAGCAUGACGUCACAGGUGUGGGUUAAUGUAUAAGAAAUAACAUGCCUGCUAUAGCCAGGUCCCAUUCACUGCUAGUACAACAUACAGGGGCGAUGUGAUGGUACGUGAUACUACUUACCAUAACAGAAGAGGGAUCAUAAUUUUUGACCUUUGAAAGUUUGUUCUGUGUGUGUUGUAAUGCAGGAA